CUGUGCUCACUUUAGCCACAGACAUAUUAAAAUUGUACUGACACAAAGAGGAUUAGCAUGACCUUUGCACCCACAUGAUUUUUGGUUGUAAAAAAUUGCAUUUUCUU
rnacentral:snRNA from 1 species